GCAUCAUGAUUUAGCAAGAAAACUACAAGCAAAGAGCCCUUUAGUUUGUAACCCCGAAACUGAGCGAGCUACUCCAAGACAGCCUAUAAAGGGCAAACCCGUCUCUGUGGCAAAAGAGUGGGAAGAGCUUUGAGUAGAGGUGACAAACCUACCGAGCCCAGUUAUAGCUGGUUGCCUGUGAAAUGAAUAGGAGUUCAGCCCUUUAAGUCUUUCCCCCCUCACCUAUGCUUACGCUAAAAUUGAUUAAGGAAACUAAAGGCGUUAAUCAAAAGGGGUACAGCCCUUUUGAUAGAAGAAACAACUUUAUCAGGUGACCCAAGAUCAUAUUACCCAAGGAUUUCAAAUUAAGUGGGCCUAAAAGCAGCCAUCUUACUAGAAAGCGUUAAAGCUCAAAUUAGCCAAUAUCCUCAUAUACUGAUAUUACAUCUCCCUCCCUGCCCCUUACCAGGCUGUCUUAUGCCCCCAUAAGAACAAUUAUGCUAAAAUGAGUAAUAAGAAGAAUUUAAUUCUUCUCCUAGCACAUGUGUAAGUCGGAACGGACCUCCCACCGACUAUUAACCGACCCCAAACCCAGAGGGAAAUAGGCUAAAAAAACAAGAAAUACACCUAUUUUGUAUCGUUAACCCCACACAGGAGUGCCUAAAGGAAAGACUAAAAGAGAAGGAAGGAACUCGGCAAACACAAGCCUCGCCUGUUUACCAAAAACAUCGCCUCUUGCCCCCAAAAUAUGAGAGGUCCCGCCUGCCCUGUGACUAUAAGUUUAACGGCCGCGGUAUUUUAACCGUGCGAAGGUAGCGUAAUCACUUGUCUUUUAAAUGAAGACCUGUAUGAAUGGCAUCACGAGGGCUUAGCUGUCUCCCAUCUCCAGUCAAUGAAAUUGACCUCCCCGUGCAGAGGCGGGGAUGAUUACAUAAGACGAGAAGACCCUAUGGAGCUUUAGACCUAAAGUAAGUCACGUUUAAUAUGCUAUGAUAACAGCGAAAACUUAGUGAUAUUUACUGAAGUGUCUUUGGUUGGGGCGACCGCGGGGUAAAACACAACCCCCAUGUGGACCGGGGAUAUUAUCCCUAAUACUCAGAGCCUCUACUCCAAGUAACAGAAAUUCUGACUUUUCUGAUCCGGUAUAACCGAUCAACGAACCGAGUUACCCUAGGGAUAACAGCGCAAUCCCCUCUCAGAGCCCAUAUCGACGAGGGGGUUUACGACCUCGAUGUUGGAUCAGGACAUCCUAAUGGUGCAGCCGCUAUAAGGGUUC
rnacentral:rRNA from 1 species